CCGGCGACCGGCGCGACGGUGAGUAACACGUAUGCAACCUGCCCUCCGCAGGGGGAUAACCCGGAGAAAUCCGGACUAAUACCGCGUGGUACACCAGUGGGCAUCCCACGGGUGUUAAAAGGAAGCGAUUCCGGCGGAGGAUGGGCAUGCGGCGCAUUAGCUAGUUGGCGGGGUAACGGCCCACCAAGGCGACGAUGCGUAGGGGUUCUGAGAGGAAGGUCCCCCACACUGGUACUGAGACACGGACCAGACUCCUACGGAAGGCAGCAG
rnacentral:rRNA from 1 species